GAUGAACGCUGGCGGCGUGCCUAAUACAUGCAAGUCGAGCGAACGGACGAGAAGCUUGCUUCUCUGAUGUUAGCGGCGGAAGGGUGAGUAACACGUGGAUAACCUACCUAUAAGACUGGGAUAACUUCGGGAAACCGGAGCUAAUACCGGCUAAUAUUUUGAACCGCAUGGUUCAAAAGUGAAAGACGGUCUUGCUGUCACUUAUAGAUGGAUCCGCGCUGCAUUAGCUAGUUGGUAAGGUAACGGCUUACCAAGGCAACGAUGCAUAGCCGACCUGAGAGGGUGAUCGGCCACACUGGAACUGAGACACGGUCCAGACUCCUACGGGAGGCAGCAGUAGGGAAUCUUCCGCAAUGGGCGAAAGCCUGACGGAGCAACGCCGCGUGAGUGAUGAAGGUCUUCGGAUCGUAAAACUCUGUUAUUAGGGAAGAACAUAUGUGUAAGUAACUGUGCACAUCUUGACGGUACCUAAUCAGAAAGCCACGGCUAACUACGUG
rnacentral:rRNA from 1 species